GAAAUGCGAUAACUAAUGUGAAUUGCAGAAUUCAGUGAAUCAUCGAGUCUUUGAACGCACAUUGCGCCCCCUGGUAUUCCGGGGGGGCAUGCCUGUCCGAGCGUCAUUGCUGCCCUCAAGCCCGGCUUGUGUGUUGGGUCGCCGUCCCCCUCUCCGGGGGGACGGGCCCGAAAGGCAGCGGCGGCACCGCGUCCGAUCCUCGAGCGUAUGGGGCUUUGUCACAUGCUCUGUAGGAUUGGCCGGCGCCUGCCGACGUUUUCCAACCAUUUUUUCCAGUUUGACCUCGGAUCAGGUAGGGAUACCCGCUGAACUUAAGC
rnacentral:misc_RNA from 1 species